rnacentral:rRNA from 1 species
GAUGAACGCUGGCGGCGUGCCUAAUACAUGCAAGUCGAGCGAACAGACGAGGAGCUUACUCCUCUGACGUUAGCGGCGGACGGGUGAGUAACACGUGGAUAACCUACCUAUAAGACUGGGAUAACUUCGGGAAACCGGAGCUAAUACCGGAUAACAUGUUGAACCGCAUGGUUCAACAGUGAAAGACGGUCUUGCUGUCACUUAUAGAUGGAUCCGCGUCGCAUUAGCUAGUUGGUAAGGUAACGGCUUACCAAGGCAACGAUGCGUAGCCGACCUGAGAGGGUGAUCGGCCACACUGGAACUGAGACACGGUCCAGACUCCUACGGGAGGCAGCAGUAGGGAAUCUUCCGCAAUGGGCGAAAGCCUGACGGAGCAACGCCGCGUGAGCGAAGAAGGUCUUCGGAUCGUAAAACUCUGUUAUUAGGGAAGAACAAAUGUGCAAGUAACUAUGCACGUCUUGACGGUACCUAAUCAGAAAGCCACGGCUAACUACGUG